rnacentral:rRNA from 1 species
GAUGAACGCUAGCUCCAGGCUUAACACAUGCAAGUCGAGGGGCAGCGGGAUUGAAGCUUGCUUCAAUUGCCGGCGACCGGCGCACGGGUGAGUAACGCGUAUCCAACCUUCCGUACACUCAGGGAUAGCCUUUCGAAAGAAAGAUUAAUACCUGAUGGUAUGAUGAGAUUGCAUGAUAUCAUCAUUAAAGAUUUAUCGGUGUACGAUGGGGAUGCGUUCCAUUAGGUAGUAGGCGGGGUAACGGCCCACCUAGCCAACGAUGGAUAGGGGUUCUGAGAGGAAGGUCCCCCACAUUGGAACUGAGACACGGUCCAAACUCCUACGGGAGGCAGCAGUGAGGAAUAUUGGUCAAUGGACGAGAGUCUGAACCAGCCAAGUAGCGUGAAGGAUGAAGGUCCUACGGAUUGUAAACUUCUUUUAUAAGGGAAUAAACCCUCCCACGUGUGGGAGCUUGUAUGUACCUUAUGAAUAAGCAUCGGCUAACUCCGUG